AUGUCACGGUACCAAAAUUAUAAACUCCAUCUGCCUACUAUUUAUCCACCCACCCAAACUCACAUAUAUCCCAUCAGCAAUUUCCGAUCGAGAACUAAAGAACUAAAUUUCUAUUCAAUGGAGGCGAUCAUUGGGAACGCUGCACACGCACCCGAAGAGGGUGCGUCUGCGGCCCAGGAGGAUGUUCCCGGUCCCCAGGAGGAUGUGCCUGCGCCCAUGGAUGUUUUGCACCCACCAAUGCAUGCCAUUGAAGAUGCACUCCAAUACAUAUUUCACUUUAUCAUGGGCAUUCGAGACCAAGAUACAUUAAAGUAA
rnacentral:rRNA from 1 species